rnacentral:lncRNA from 1 species
UAAAUGUACACAUAUAUAGUGAAUUGUUUUUGUCAAGACUUUAAAAAUAACUAGGGGAAACAAUAGUGCUAGAACUAUUGGAUAUCCACAUGGAAAGAAAUAAAAUUAAGUUCUUACUAUUUAAUGGGGAAAAGACAGCCGUUUCAACAAUUGCUGCUGGGAAAACUAGAUAUCCACAUGCAAAAGAAGUUGGACCCUUACCUUAUACCAUAUAAAACGGUUAACUUGAAAUGGAUCAAGGACUUAAAUAUAAUCACCUAAAACUAUAAAUCUCUUAGAAGAAAACAUAGGGAAAUGCCUUCUGACAUUGGAUUUAGCUAUGAUUUUUUGCAUAUGACACCAAGAAUACAAGCAAUACAAGUAAAAAUAAAUUGUACUAUAUCAAAAUUAUAAAGUUCUGUGUAUCAAGGGAUACAAUUAGCAGGGUGAAAAGGCUACCUACAGAAUAGGAGGAGAUAUUUGUAAAUCAUAUAUCUGAUCAGAGGUUAAUAUCUAGAAUAUAUAAACAACUUCUCCAACUCAAAAACAGAAAACUAAACAAUCUGAUUUUUUAAAUGUGCAAAUAAGUUGAAUAGACACUUCUUUAACGAAGAUAUACAAAUGACCAACAAGCAUGUGAAAAGAUACUCAACAUCCCUAAUAAUUAGGGAAAUCCAAAUCAAAACAACCACGAGGUAUUAUUCAUACCCAUUGGAUGGCUAAUAUCAGAAAAAUAGCAAAUAACAAGUAUUGGUUAAAAUGUAGAACAAUUGGAACUCUUGUGUUCUAAUGGUGGAAAUGUUAAAUGAUGCUAUCAUUACAGAAAACGGUAUGGUGGUUCCUAAACAAAAUUUAAACAGACCAUAUGAUCCAAAGGUUUUACUUCUGGUUAUAUACGUAAAGUAAGUCAAAGUGAGGCCUUGAGAUCUUUGUACACUCAUGUUCAUAGGAGCAUCAUUCACAAUAGCAAAAUGUGGAAGCAACCCAAAAGUCUAUUGAUGGAUGAAUAGAUAAACGUUGUAUACAGUGGAAUACCAUUCAGUCUUAAAAAGGAAGAAAAAUUCUGAAACAUGCUGCAACAGGGAUGAACCUUGUAGUCAUUACGCAAAGUGAAAUAAGCUAGUCGCAAAAAAUAGCCACUGUAUGAUUCCACUUACAUAGGUACCUAGAUUAGUCAAAUUUAUAGAGAUAGAGAGUAGAAGGGCGUUACUGUAGACCGAGGCAGAAGAAUGGUGUG